rnacentral:rRNA from 1 species
CAGUAGCCACGGUAAAACGAAGGGGGCUAGCGUUGCUCGGAAUGACUGGGCGUAAAGGGCGCGUAGGCGGUUUUGACAGUCAGAUGUGAAAUUCCUGGGCUUAACCUGGGGGCUGCAUUUGAGACGUCAAGACUAGAGUGUGAGAGAGGGCUGUGGAAUUCCGAGUGUAGAGGUGAAAUUCGUAGAUAUUCGGAAGAACACCAGUGGCGAAGGCGGCUUACUGGCUCAUUCUAGACGCUGAGGUGCGAAAGCGUGGGGAGCAAACAGGAUUAGAUACCCCUGUAGUCCCUGUCUCUUAUAC